CUGGUUCCUUCUAAUGAAGAAUCCUUUCUUUUUCUCUCCUCUUGUUUUGACUCCGGUUUACUGUAUGUAGUCCCGGCUGCCAAGGACUAUCGAUCUUCUUGUCCUCAGCCAACUGAGUGUAGGCGGUCUAUACAAGCCUUUCUAGAUGACCUAUUUUUCCGACUGAGAGUCUUUUGAAGUUGCACACACAAGGGGUGUAGCUGGACGCCACUCUUCUUCUGAAGCUAGCAGCGUUGAAGGUGUGUUCUGACCAGAAGCCCUCACGUCGGCCACGUCUAACUCCCUAUGCACCUCCGUGCGACCACAUGGAAGUCACCAGCCCUAACCAGCCCAUGUCCCGACCUCAGGCUGAUGAAACUAGGAAGAUGGAGCCUCACCCCCACUGCUGGAAGAGUAUCCUAAUAAAAGACAAAAUAGCUUUCAUAGAUGUUCUGCCCAGGGGAUGUCCCUCAAGAAACUUUGCAAACCACAUUGCUGGUUCUUCCUGGCCCUGCGGUCCAUAAUGAGAAAUGAUUGGCACUAAGCAAGAG